UAGAUACCUGGUAGUCCGCACAGUAAACGAUGGAUGCCCGCUGUUAGCACCUAGUGUUAGCGGCUAAGCGAAAGCAUUAAGCAUCCCACCUGGGGAGUACGCCGGCAACGGUGAAACUCAAAGGAAUUGACGGGGGCCCGCACAAGCGGAGGAACAUGUGGUUUAAUUCGAUGAUACGCGAGGAACCUUACCCGGUCUUGAAUUGCAGAUGAAGUCUUUAGAGAUAAAGAGGCUCUUCGGAGCAUCUGUG
rnacentral:rRNA from 1 species